rnacentral:tRNA from 1 species
GUGGGUGUAGUUCAAUGGUAGAGCACUGGACUGUGGCUCCAGCAGUUGUGGGUUCGAAUCCCAUCACUCACC